UACGGGGGGGGCAAGCGUUGUUCGGAAUUACUGGGCGUAAAGGGCUCGUAGGCGGCCAACUAAGUCGGAUGUGGAAUCCCCAGGCUUAACCUGGGAACUGCAUCCGAUACUGGAUGGCUUGAAUCCGGGAGAGGGAUGCGGAAUUCCAGGUGUAGCGGUGAAAUGCGUAGAUAUUCGGAAGAACACCAGUGGCGAAGGCGGCUCACUGGCUCGGAACUGACGCUGAGGUGCGAAAGCGUGGGGAGCAAACAGG
rnacentral:rRNA from 1 species